rnacentral:rRNA from 1 species
AGUCGAACGGUAACAGGAAGCAGCUUGCUGUUUCGCUGACGAGUGGCGGACGGGUGAGUAAUGUCUGGGAAACUGCCUGAUGGAGGGGGAUAACUACUGGAAACGGUAGCUAAUACCGCAUAACGUCGCAAGACCAAAGAGGGGGACCUUCGGGCCUCUUGCCAUCGGAUGUGCCCAGAUGGGAUUAGCUAGUAGGUGGGGUAACGGCUCACCUAGGCGACGAUCCCUAGCUGGUCUGAGAGGAUGACCAGCCACACUGGAACUGAGACACGGUCCAGACUCCUACGGGAGGCAGCAGUGGGGAAUAUUGCACAAUGGGCGCAAGCCUGAUGCAGCCAUGCCGCGUGUAUGAAGAAGGCCUUCGGGUUGUAAAGUACUUUCAGCGGGGAGGAA